rnacentral:rRNA from 1 species
UACGUAGGGACCGAGCGUUGUCCGGAUUCAUUGGGCGUAAAGAGCUCGUAGGCGGCCACUCAAGUCGAAUGUGAAACCUCGAGGCUUAACCUCGAGCCUGCAUUCGAUACUGGGCGGCUAGAGUCUGGUAGGGGGAUCUGGAAUUCCUGGUGUAGCGGUGGAAUGCGCAGAUAUCAGGAGGAACACCGGUGGCGAAGGCAGCUCGCUGGGACGGUACUGACGCUAAGGCGCGAAAGCGUGGGGAGCAAACAGG